rnacentral:rRNA from 1 species
AAAUAGAACUUUGCAGAGAGAGUUAACAGGGCGUGAACCGUUGAUUGGCAAACGAAUCGGACCCACGAAGUCGUUUCGUUGUUAGGGGGGCGGAGUUCAGUUCGCGCCGAAAGACGCGGGCGUAUUCUCACGCUCACCCAACUCUGUAAGCGUACACUGCAACCUGUUAGACGAUCAACUGUGGGCUGAGUGACGCAGAGCGAGCAAUCGCACUGCGGCACGCACUGUCUGUUCGCUCGCGGUAGUAGUAGCGCGGUCGGGUUUCGGCCCUCCGUGUUGCUGGCCGCGUGGCGUGUGAACUACAGUUGAAUACUGACAGGCGAAAUGAAAACCGUUGAAAAACGUUAGAGAAAAAGCGGUUGGCCGCAUGGGCUUCUACGCGUCCGACUGUUGAGUCUAAGCUUGGCGCUUUUGAAUUCAGACUUGCUCGCUACCAGUGGGGCAACUCCUGGUGCUUGUAUAGCUUCUGUCUAAUCGGGCGUCGACUUGGCUUGGCAUUGAUCGGGCGUGAAUCGUUUGGAGGUUCAUGCGAGUUGGCUCGCAAUAUGAAUUGGCAGUGAGUAGGUCGGCUUUCCGAACGACCCGUCUUGAAACACGGACCAAGGAGUCUAAUUAGGCAUCGAGUCGAUCGGUCUUGUUUAGGCCAGAAAGGGGGGUUCGCCUCCCGAUUGAAGGCGUAGAGAAAUCAAAUCGUGUGAUCAUCUCGGCAACAACAGCCGGAGUGCGCAACAUGUGCCUGUUCGUAUAGCAAUGUAGCAAUACUUGCUGGGCGGAGCAAAGAGAUGUCUGAUUGGGACCCGAAAGAUGGUGAACUAUGCCUGGGCAAAUUGAAGCCAGAGGAAACUCUGGUGGAGGAUUGUAGCGAUUCUGACGUGCAAAUCGAUCGUCAGACCUGGGUAUAGGGGCGAAAGACUAAUCGAACCAUC